UACGGAAGGCAGCAGUGGGGAAUAUUGCACAAUGGGCGCAAGCCUGAUGCAGCCAUGCCGCGUGUAUGAAGAAGGCCUUCGGGUUGUAAAGUACUUUCAGUCGUGAGGAAGGUGUUAAGGUUAAUAACCUUAGCAAUUGACGUUAGCGACAGAAGAAGCACCGGCUAACUCCGUGCCAGCAGCCGCGGUAAUACGGAGGGUGCGAGCGUUAAAUCGGAAUUACUGGGCGUAAAAGGGCACGCAGGCGGUUAAUUAAGUUGGAUGUGAAAUCCCCGGGCUUAAACCUGGGAAUGGCAUUCAAGACUGGUUAGCUAGAGUCUUGUAGAGGGGGUAGAAUUCCAUGUGUAGCGGUGAAAUGCGUAGAGAUGUGGAGGAAUACCGGUGGCGAAAGGCGGCCCCUGGACAAAAGACUGACGCUCAUGUGCGAAAAGCGUGGGGAGCAAAACAGGAUUAGAUACC
rnacentral:rRNA from 1 species